rnacentral:sRNA from 1 species
CAAUUAUAUUUUUGCAAUUCAGUCAAACGAAGAGUAAAAAGACAACAACAAAAAAUUAGAGUAAAAGCAACGGUAUAACAAAACAAGGAUCGGAGCAGCAGCGGCAGUGAAAAAAAAGAGAAGCAAAGCAGCAGGCAGUCGCACGACGCAGACGACGAUCAGCAGAGAGGAGCGGCAGCGCAACAGGAACCACCUCUCUCUCUCUCUCUCUCACACUCUUGUGCGCUCUUUCUCCCGCUCCCCAGAUACGGAUACAGAUGCCCGAAGUUUGCUUCACAGACAGUGCUUUCCACCAAAGAUCGUACUACUCCAUUGGGGAUCCAUGGGAUAAGCAGUGCAAAAACAUAUUCUAGGGAAAGUAAAUAUGAUAAUAUCCAGCGCUACGAUGGGCCUCGUGGCGCCAAAGCGCCGUUUAUUUGCAACGCAUCUCAGACGCUAAAAGCCAAAGAGAUAGAAUAAUAAUAGUAGGAGCCGCAGUCGCAGCGGUGGGCCAGUGCCAGGGCCAGCACCAGCACCAGCACUCCCCCCCUUCCGAACGCCACCCGCCCCCACCCACAAAUGAGGAGGGGUGGGCAACGACGGGCCAACAACAGGUUGAGGAGCACAUACAUAGGCAAAAGCCCACAACAAAAUCAAAAGCAAAUGCCAGAGCAAAGGCAAAGGCAAAAGCAAAAGCAACAAAAACACGACAAAUAGAAAGAAGCAGACAAAAUAAAACAGAGAAAACCACCAAAACCGCAAAAACAACAAGCAGAGAAGCCACCGAAAGAGAGCGGCAGACCAACCGACCGACCGACCGACCGACCGACCGACAGGACCGACCGGGCAGCCGUGAGAGUAAAAGAGGGAGAGAGUAAUCCAAUCAAAAACCAAACACAAACGCAGCAGAGCAGCAGCAGCCGAGCGGCAGCGAC